rnacentral:rRNA from 1 species
AGAGUUUGAUCCUGGCUCAGGACGAACGCUGGCGGCAUGCCUAACACAUGCAAGUCGAACGGAGAAAGUUCAACACCAAGUAUUUCAUCCGCUGAAGUGUAGCGGUAAAAAUUGCGAAGCAAUUUUUACUACGCAUUAAAAGCAUGAACUAACACGGUGGUUGAAGUAUUAGGUGUUGAACUUUCUUAGUGGCGAACGGGUGAGUAACGCGUGGGCAACCUGCCCUCUAGAUGGGGACAACAUCCCGAAAGGGGUGCUAAUACCGAAUGUGACAGCAAUCUCGCAUGAGGAUGCUGUGAAAGAUGGCCUCUAUUUAUAAGCUAUCGCUAGAGGAUGGGCCUGCGUCUGAUUAGCUAGUUGGUGGGGUAACGGCCUACCAAGGCGAUGAUCAGUAGCCGGUCUGAGAGGAUGAACGGCCACAUUGGGACUGAGACACGGCCCAGACUCCUACGGGAGGCAGCAGUGGGGAAUCUUCCGCAAUGGGCGAAAGCCUGACGGAGCAAUGCCGCGUGAGUGAUGAAGGAAUUCGUUCCGUAAAGCUCUUUUGUUUAUGACGAAUGUGCAGAUUGUAAAUAAUGAUCUGUAAUGACGGUAGUAAACGAAUAAGCCACGGCUAACUACGUGCCAGCAGCCGCGGUAAUACGUAGGUGGCGAGCGUUGUCCGGAAUUAUUGGGCGUAAAGAGCAUGUAGGCGGUUUUUUAAGUCUGGAGUGAAAAUGCGGGGCUCAACCCCGUAUGGCUCUGGAUACUGGAAGACUUGAGUGCAGGAGAGGAAAGGGGAAUUCCCAGUGUAGCGGUGAAAUGCGUAGAUAUUGGGAGGAACACCAGUGGCGAAGGCGCCUUUCUGGACUGUGUCUGACGCUGAGAUGCGAAAGCCAGGGUAGCGAACGGGAUUAGAUACCCCGGUAGUCCUGGCCGUAAACGAUGGGUACUAGGUGUAGGAGGUAUCGACCCCUUCUGUGCCGGAGUUAACGCAAUAAGUACCCCGCCUGGGGAGUACGUCCGCAAGGAUGAAACUCAAAGGAAUUGACGGGGGCCCGCACAAGCGGUGGAGUAUGUGGUUUAAUUCGACGCAACGCGAAGAACCUUACCAAGGCUUGACAUUGAAUGACCGCUCCAGAGAUGGAGCUUUCCCUUCGGGGACAUGAAAACAGGUGGUGCAUGGCUGUCGUCAGCUCGUGUCGUGA